GGCGGCGCCACCCAGCGUCAAGUUACCCGGCAGCUACGUGUGCAGUUAAAAUGACAACUCCAGGCUGUCCACGUCAACACAGAAAUACUCCAACAUGGACACGGUGGCUCUGGAGCCUUCACUUUACACGGUCAAAGCUGUCUUCAUACUGGACAACGAUGGCACACGCCUGCUGGCCAAGUACUAUGAUCCUGAUUUAUUUCCAUCCAUGAAGGAGCAGAAAAAUUUUGAAAAGAAUGUUUACAACAAAACACACAAAACUGACAGUGAGAUUGCCUUCCUAGAGGGAAUGACUAUUGUGUAUAAAAGCAGUAUUGACCUUUUCUUCUAUGUGGUGGGCAGUGCCCAGGAAAAUGAGUUGAUGCUAAUGUCGGUGCUGAACUGUCUCUUUGAUUCCCUGAGCCAGAUGUUGAGAAAAAACAUAGAAAAACGGUCAGUGAUGGAAAAUCUAGAUGGAGUCUUCCUUGUGGUCGAUGAGGUCAUUGAUGGAGGAGUCAUUCUGGAGAGUGAUCCUCAGCAGGUUAUCCAGAAGAUUAAUUUUAGGACCCUGCCUGAGCCGGCCUAUGGCUUCGUUCUCUUUGACUAUAUCACGGGUAACACUGAGCAGCAGGGAGACAAGAGCCAGAAAAAAUAAAGGGGGGGAAGGACACCAGUUCAGGUUGAUGACAGCCCCCUGUCAGAACAGAGUGUGUCUCAGGUUUUGCAGUCGGCGAAAGAGCAGAUCAAGUGGUCCAUACUGAAAUAGGACUGUGGUGGCCGACAUAGUCCUUUAGAAACGGACACAAAAGCAAACUUACAUGCAUUUUUUUUUUUUUUUUUUUGCCAAUAGUGUUUUUAUCUGGACUCCUUGGACCUUUCAUUAUUUAUUUUGAUAACGAAAAUAAGAGUCUGCCAAAAACGAAAUGCUUUAUCUCCCGCUAUUUGCAAGACACAAACAUCUUAUUCUAUUUAUAUCACAGUGUUUACAUUAAAAUGAAUGACGAUGCUACAAAAUUCCUGAAUUUCAGUUAAAAAAAAAAAGUCAAACUUAUGUUUUAGUCAAAGUAAUGUAAAGAGAGCGGCUCAAUUAUUGCAAUUGUUUCGUUUGUGGAUCAAUACAGUAGAUACGGACUUUGGUGAAUUGUCAGUCUUGUUGAAAGGAACAGCCAUUCAGACGUGCUGACGAAAAGGAAAUUUUAAUAACAUAGAACUGUAAAGGGAUUGUUUAAACGAAUGCAUGUCGCGUUGUAUUAAUCAGUUCAAUACAUCUGUGCCAGCGAUCAAACGUCUACUGGGGUCCACUGUCUGAUCCACAGUCGCGAUAAUUUUGUUUUUUUAUUAAGAUGACAACAAAAAAGGCCAAAAAUCAAAUAAUGCAAAUUCCACGAUGUACAAACUCAGACUGACUGAGAUAUAUUUACUACACUAUAUCUGUGCAUUUAAUUGCAUCAUUACAAUUUUCACCUGCAUGUCACGUCGACCACCCUGUUUUCGAAAAAGCUUUCUUUUUAUGCUUAAAAAUGUGAACUCUUACCGCGAGCUGCAGUGCUUCGAGACUUGCAAAGAUUUCAUAAUUCGUAUUAUAUUUCAAUACAUUUUUUCCCAGUUUUGAAGGAUUUUUGUAAAAAUGUAAAUGCAACCAGUCUCCAAAGAUCGGUUAGUGCAGCAAUAACAACAACAAUAAUAAUAAUAAUAGUAAAAUUUUGUAAAACGUAUGUAGAUCGCAGUUGGUGAAACAACUAACUAAGCAUUAUACUUUUAUCUGUAUGCCACAUCUGAUAAACUCAAAAAGGGUCUUGGGAAGUCCGAGGCUUUUCCGGCAGCAUCGCACUGGACGGCGUGCUGGUCACCACAUCGCAGGACACACCAGCACGCACACCCUCACUAAUUUUUGAAUAUUCGUCAAAUUCGAAUUAAAGCCAUGUCUGUAAUUUCUGAAUGAAAAUGUGUCCAGUGCAGAAAUGGACGACAGGCAGCAGUUCAGUACAAUUCCACUUUCACACGAGUCAAGGCACACGUAUGUAAAUUAAUUCUGCAUCUAUAGAUCCAGGACUUUUACUAAUGAAGUAGUUUUAUAAUGGCUCCAGUAUAUUAGUUGACCACUUGUCGUAGUCAGUAGAAAAACUAGCGGAGCAAAGUGUGUAGCUUUAAAUGUAAUUUAACGAAAGAAAUAUAUUUAUUAUGGCCCAAUGUGACUUCUUUUAAAAAAUAGUAUUGUUUACUGCUGAUGUUAACAUUGACUUAUAAAGGUGUAUAUACAGUGAUUUUGUGCAGUUUCGAGUGUGUAUUUUAUAUUUUGCAGUGUUUUACUGAAGGAUGAAAUGAAAGCGUAUUUUCUAAAUACAUAUAAAUUGCAAAUAUAAAUUGUAAUACCUGAAAAUAUUUAACAGCUGUAAAAUUUAAAUAUCAACCAGUUUGAGUUUAAAUAUUUAUUUCAGUUAAUAAAGACCUCGUUUAGUCAAUUGAUUUGUUUGUGCUUUUUUAAAUUUAUACUAAUUUAUUUUUACAGGCCUCACUACAAAAUCGACUUCGAAAAAUUGAUGAUGACAUGUUAUUCUCUUCUAAAGUAUUUGAAAAUGUAAAGGAAAUGAGUCAUAUUUUAAAAACGUAAUUGAACAAAUGCGCCAAGCGUCAUUCGGGCAAAUCUGAUUGGCGAAUGUAUAUUAAAUAUUCAUGAGCUCUGCAUAGUGAAUGGAAGUUGGAAGUAAAUUAAGGCUUUAGCAAAAGCAACUGUGAAAACGAUGUUACUUAAAUAUGAAAAUCUAGAAGACAAGACUAUUAUGUUGCAUCAUGUCGUGUGCAUAUAUAGAAAAAAAAUGCAUUUUUUAAAUAAUUGGACCAUAUGCUGUAAUUACUGCACACUGCAGUUUGGGACUACAGCAGAAAUACGAAGCAGUUGCUAUUAUACUUUCAAAAUUCAAUCCAUCCGCCAUAAAACUUAACACUGAAGUGAAAGCGUGUUGUGGAUCUUUACCUCCUGACCAAAUUAGGAAAAGUCAGAUCCUUAGAAAUAUGCAAUAAAUCAGAUGAACCAAAUCUAUGUAUUUGGUUGUGUAUAUAUCAGCUAAUAAUGGAAAGAGGGCGCUUGUUACGCCUUUGGUUGGAUAGAAACAAAUCUUUUAAUUGGUGUCAGUAUUUGUCAUUAGGUUUAAAGAAUGUUUUCAUUCUUCGAUAAAUCAGGAUCAUUUGAGGUUUUAUUUAGAUCAUUUAUUUAAUUCCAGGAGGACGUAUUUGCCUAAUAAAUUAUACAUAGUGAGUGCGUAGUCGGCUGAUUGCAGUAAAGUAAACAUUCUUGUAGCCUUCCUCAUGAUCCCAAAUGUAUACAAACACUAUUUUCCUGGUACUGUUGUUUCUUAAUGCACAUUUAAGUCUCUGCUAGACAAAAUAUACCGAUAUACAUUUGUGGGAUUAAAUGAAGGCUUACAUUAAAAGGUUUAUUUUGGGUAGAAUGUUGGUUGUUGUUUGUUUAACAUACACAUUGU